rnacentral:other from 1 species
GAAUCCCUGCCUUGUCUCGUGACCACCUUUUUAAAACCCACAUCUUUUAAACGGGAUGUCCCCUCAUCUGGCGGAUCGCAGGCCUCCCGGACCUCUUCGGAGUGUUUGGACGUUGGAAGUGAGGAAACCAGAUGGAGACAACCCACCUGCAUUUGCGUGCAGGUUUUUAAUUGGGUGGCACGGCUAUGGCGGGGCCCUU